rnacentral:rRNA from 1 species
UUUGCACGUUCUACGUGGUCAGUCAUCCAAAUAGCGUUAAAUUUGUAUCCGCCCACAAGUGUCGCCAAUAUUUUUGGUCAUUGAUUGGAUGGUAUUCCAAAUAGGUUGAAAAUGCUAAUAAGGGUGGGAGCGUAUGCCUUGCUAUGGUCGCUUUGGCUCUGUAGAAAUGAUUUAGUUUUCAAUAACAAAAAUGCUUCUCCUUUGCAAGUUAUUUUCCGUUGUACGCACUCGCUUCAUACGUGGUCUACGCUACAACGAGUGGAGUACCAACCGAUGUUCAAGGCGGUGUGUACACGGUUGGAGCAGGUGGCUACGGAGGUUUUUACCCAACAUGGGUGGCAGCAUAAUCUCCGGAUCGGUCCACCACCCUUUUCGACAUAA